UACAGAGGGGGCAAGCGUUGUUCGGAAUUACUGGGCGUAAAGGGCGCGUAGGCGGCCGCCUAAGUCAGACGUGAAAUCCCUCGGCUCAACCGGGGAACUGCGUCUGAUACUGGGUGGCUUGAAUUCGGGAGAGGGAUGCGGAAUUCCAGGUGUAGCGGUGAAAUGCGUAGAUAUCUGGAGGAACACCGGUGGCGAAGGCGG
rnacentral:rRNA from 1 species